CAGUAUUAUUAUUGUUGUUGGUCUUGGUGCAUAUUCUAAUGGGGCCACAUGGAUGCAGGAUUCAAGCAAAAAUAUCCAGAUUUGUGCCUUCUUGUUAUUUUGGUUAUUUGUCUAGACCUGGUCAUCCUUCACCAAAGGAUCCAUCUUUGCAGAAAUGGAAUGUGACUGUGGCCUAUAGUUCCAUUAUUCCAUAAGGACCGGCCAAAACAUAUGAAACUAGGACCCAUGAAGACAAUAAUUCUCAGUCAGUCAGUAAAGUUGAUUAUAUUUCGAUGAAAGUCUCAGUUGUUCGUAAGAUCAUAACCUUCCAACAAAAUGUGUUUCUUAUAUGCUUAUCUUAUGUUGAAUUAGGUAUUUGUUGCUAAUCCAAAUAAGCCAUGUGAGAUCAUCGAAGUCUUAGCAAACAAUCAUGCAGAAUUGCUGAUGUUGCAUCACAAUCUUCCUACAAGCAAAGGUAAGUUUUGUUGAUUCUGUUAUUGUUGUUUGAUCAUGUUAUUUGUCCAAGGCAUUCGGGCACACACCAUCUUCUCAAGUUACAAAAUUUAAAUCAACUGCUGGAAAACAUCAUCAUGUGAAUUAAUAGUAGUUCAACGAUCAUAUGACUGAAAAUAUCUACAGUAGUAUCUUUGACAGCUGAAAAGGAAGCAAUUAAGUGGCUUUUAAUCCAUUUAGCAAAGAGAUGAAAAAAAAGAGCGAGUGGCUAUAGAUCCUAAUGGUCUUAAUAAACAUAUAGUUUCUAGUCCAUCUCUCACUCUCAUGCACAUACACACACAUACACUCACUUCAAGUUUAAAGUGAUGUUUGUCGUGCCCAAUUUGGUCAAUACUAAUGUCGACAUUUUGCACUGUCAGUGGAUGCUUUAAAAUCAUAAGCUCUAGUUUAAAAAGCUUUGUAAAGCUUUAUGCUAUAUUAUCCAGAUCCUUUGGUUUUUCCUUUCAACGAGAUUGAAGUAGUAGGUUUCCAGCCCAGCAGUUUAUGGAGAAGAGGGGAAAGUUUGAGGAGAGGAAUAAGAAGAAGAGACAUGCAUCCCUCCGGUCAAGAUUUGUCGUCAAACCCUCCAAC
rnacentral:lncRNA from 1 species